rnacentral:miRNA from 1 species
UCAAACUGUGGCCCUCCAGAUGUUGCUGAACUACAACUCCCAUGAUUAUCUAUGUAUCUAUGUCAUUGAAAGAACCAUGGGAGUUGUAGUUCAGCAACAUCUGGAGGGCCACAGUUUGA